GCUGUGUCAUUGUCCUGUACAGUGUCGGAGCACGCACAUCAUCACACUGACUACGUGGGAACAGGUGACUUCAGGACUAACCUGUAAAGGACAAAUAAAAGAGAUUUAAGUGGAACUAUGCUGUGAUGGAUAUUCUCUGCUCUGCGCAAUUGCGCUGAGCGGAUGACUUCUUGCUGUCGCUGCUCAAAGAAGAACAGGGCAGCAGGAUGACUAUACCAGAGAAAUCAAGGGGUGAAAGUGUGGACAGUCUCUAGUGAUGAAAAAACAUUCAGUAAAGUUCCUCAAUAAUUCCUCUGGACGGAAGAGAUGCCCACAUUUCCCCUCCACCUUUUAAGUUUAUUCACUUGCAGCAUGUUGAUCUCAGUUGCUCUGCACUUGUUAUAAUGACGACUCGUCCGAAAACGCCCUGUCGGGACGUUGGAUGAUGUCUGACAGAAGACAGGUGCAGCUGUGGCUCAGAAGUGCUUUACAUCUUCUGUUUGUACCAAUUAUUUAUAUGGUAGAAAUGCAACAUCAGAACAUGUAAUCAGAUUAAUUAAAUAAAAAAAGUUGUUAAAAUCAUGUGUGCCAUUAAAUUGUGCUUACACUGUUUCUCCAGGAGAGGUCCUCUCUUCUCUUCUGACACUCUCUUUUUCUGAGUAUCUGGCGCCAUCAUGUGGAGGA